rnacentral:rRNA from 1 species
CAGUAGCCGCGGUAAUACGUAGGUGGCAAGCGUUGUCCGGAAUUAUUGGGCGUAAAGGGCUCGCAGGCGGUUUCUUAAGUCUGAUGUGAAAGCCCCCCGGCUCAACCGGGGAGGGUCAUUGGAAACUGGGAAACUUGAGUGCAGAAGAGGAGAGUGGAAUUCCACGUGUAGCGGUGAGAUGCGUAGAGAUGUGGAGGAACACCAGUGGCGAAGGCGACUCUCUGGUCUGUAACUGACGCUGAGGAGCGAAAGCGUGGGGAGCGAACAGGAUUAGAUACCCCAGUAGUCCCUGUCUCUUAUA